GAGAAGCUGAAGGAGUUUAGAGGAGACGCAGGAAGACGCUUGUUUUGCUUCUUCGUCUCCAGAGAGCCGAGACGUUUGGAUAAUGAGGCCUCAGGAACACUUCACCUGUCGCUCGGAGUCAGAGAGUCACAGUGAUCAGCUCACCUGUUCACGACUGAUCACAGGUGCAAAGACUGCUGGGAAAAGUGCUGGUCCUGUCUCCAUGAAACCUGAAGGUUGUAGCGUGGGCGGAGGAAGACUCGCGGCGGACGCUUGGGUUAACGCUGCGUGAUGAGGC